CGACCUCAGAGCAGGCGAGACUACCCGCUGAAUUUAAGCAUAUUACUAAGCGGAGGAAAAGAAACUAACAAGGAUUCCCCCAGUAGCGGCGAGCGAACAGGGAAGAGUCCAGCACCGAACCCCGCAGGCUGCCGCCUGUCGUGGCAUGUGGUGUUUGGGAGGGUCCACUACCCCGACGCCUCGCGCCGAGCCCAAGUCCAACUUGAAUGAGGCCACGGCCCGUAGAGGGUGCCAGGCCCGUAGCGGCCGGUGCGAGCGUCGGCGGGACCUCUCCUUCGAGUCGGGUUGCUUGAGAGUGCAGCUCCAAGUGGGUGGUAAACUCCAUCUGAGACUAAAUAUGACCACGAGACCGAUAGCGAACAAGUACCGUGAGGGAAAGUUGAAAAGAACUUUGAAGAGAGAGUUCAAAAGUACGUGAAACCGUUCUGGGGUAAACGUGAGAAGUCCGAAAGGUCGAACGGGUGAGAUUCACGCCCAUCCGGCCACUGGCCUCCGCCCUCGGCAGAUGGGGCCGGCCGCCCGCGCGGAGCAAUCUGCGGCGGGGUCGUGUCCGGUUGCCUUUCCACUCGCCGCGGGGUGGGGCCGUUCCGGUGUGCGGUGGGCCGCACUUCUCCCCUAGUAGGACGUCGCGACCCGCUGGGUGCCGGCCUACGGCCCGGGUGCGCAGCCUGUCCUUCCGCGGGCCUCGGUUCGCGUCUGUUGGGCAGAGCCCCGGUGUCCUGGCUGGCUGCCCGGCGGUAUAUCUGGAGGAGUCGAUUCGCCCCUUUGGGCGCUCGGGCUCCCGGCAAGCGCGCGCGGUUCUUCCCGGAUGACGGACCUACCUGGCCCGGCCCCGGACCCGCGCCGCUGUUGGCUCGGGAUGCUCUCGGGCGGAAUAAUCGCUCCCGUCAGCGGCGCUUCAGCUUUGGACAAUUUCACGACCCGUCUUGAAACACGGACCAAGGAGUCUAACAUGUGCGCGAGUCAUUGGGCUGUACGAAACCUAAAGGCGUAAUGAAAGUGAAGGUCUCGCCUUGCGCGGGCCGAGGGAGGAUGGGGCUUCCCCGCCCUUCACGGGGCGGCGGCCUCCGCACUCCCGGGGCGUCUCGUCCUCAUUGCGAGGUGAGGCGCACCUAGAGCGUACACGUUGGGACCCGAAAGAUGGUGAACUAUGCCUGGCCAGGACGAAGUCAGGGGAAACCCUGAUGGAGGUCCGUAGCGAUUCUGACGUGCAAAUCGAUCGUCGGAGCUGGGUAUAGGGGCGAAAGACUAAUCGAACCAUCUAGUAGCUGGUUCCCUCCGAAGUUUCCCUCAGGAUAGCUGGUGCUCGUACGAGUCUCAUCCGGUAAAGCGAAUGAUUAGAGGCCUUGGGGCCGAAACGACCUCAACCUAUUCUCAAACUUUAAAUGGGUGAGAUCUCCGGCUUGCUUGAUAUGCUGAAGCCGCGAGCAAACGACUCGGAUCGGAGUGCCAAGUGGGCCACUUUUGGUAAGCAGAACUGGCGCUGUGGGAUGAACCAAACGCCGAGUUAAGGCGCCCGAAUCGACGCUCAUGGGAAACCAUGAAAGGCGUUGGUUGCUUAAGACAGCAGGACGGUGGCCAUGGAAGUCGGAAUCCGCUAAGGAGUGUGUAACAACUCACCUGCCGAAGCAACUAGCCCUGAAAAUGGAUGGCGCUGAAGCGUCGUGCCUAUACUCGGCCGUCAGUCUGGCAGUCAUGGCCGGUCCUUGCGGCCGGCCGCGAAGCCCUGACGAGUAGGAGGGUCGCGGCGGUGGGCGCAGAAGGGUCUGGGCGUGAGCCUGCCUGGAGCCGCCGUCGGUGCAGAUCUUGGUGGUAGUAGCAAAUACUCCAGCGAGGCCCUGGAGGGCUGACGCGGAGAAGGGUUUCGUGUGAACAGCCGUUGCACACGAGUCAGUCGAUCCUAAGCCCUAGGAGAAAUCCGAUGUUGAUGGGGGCCGUCAUAGCAUGAUGCGCUUUGUGCUGGCCCCCGUUGGGCGAAAGGGAAUCCGGUUCCUAUUCCGGAACCCGGCAGCGGAACCGAUACAAGUCGGGCCCCUCUUUUAGAGAUGCUCGUCGGGGUAACCCAAAAGGACCCGGAGACGCCGUCGGGAGAUCGGGGAAGAGUUUUCUUUUCUGCAUGAGCGUUCGAGUUCCCUGGAAUCCUCUAGCAGGGAGAUAGGGUUUGGAACGCGAAGAGCACCGCAGUUGCGGCGGUGUCCCGAUCUUCCCCUCGGACCUUGAAAAUCCGGGAGAGGGCCACGUGGAGGUGUCGCGCCGGUUCGUACCCAUAUCCGCAGCAGGUCUCCAAGGUGAAGAGCCUCUAGUCGAUAGAAUAAUGUAGGUAAGGGAAGUCGGCAAAUUGGAUCCGUAACUUCGGGAUAAGGAUUGGCUCUGAGGAUCGGGGCGUGUCGGGCUUGGUCGGGAAGUGGGUCAGCGCUAACGUGCCGGGCCUGGGCGAGGUGAGUGCCGUAGGGGUGCCGGUAAGUGCGGGCGUUUAGCGCGGGCGUGGUCUGCUCUCGCCGUUGGUCGGCCUCGUGCUGGUCGGCGGUGCAGGAUGCGCGCGCCUGCGCGGCGUUCGCGCCCCGGUGCUUCAACCUGCGUGCAGGAUCCGAGCUCGGUCCCGUGCCUUGGCCUCCCACGGAUCUUCCUUGCUGCGAGGCCGCGUCCGCCUUAGCGUGCUCCUCCGGGGGCGCGCGGGUGCGCGGAUUCUCUUCGGCCGCCAUUCAACGAUCAACUCAGAACUGGCACGGACUGGGGGAAUCCGACUGUCUAAUUAAAACAAAGCAUUGCGAUGGCCCUAGCGGGUGUUGACGCAAUGUGAUUUCUGCCCAGUGCUCUGAAUGUCAACGUGAAGAAAUUCAAGCAAGCGCGGGUAAACGGCGGGAGUAACUAUGACUCUCUUCACGACAGAGCCACCUUCCAACGCUGGCUCCAUUCCCGACCGGCUUCUCCCGCGCUCGGAGUCUGUUGACUUUGAGCGCCUAUGGAGGCCGAUCACUGCAGAAGAGGUUGCGGCCGCCCUGCCGCCCAGAGGCUCCGUUGCCGGCCCUGACGGCCUCUCGCCGGUGCAGCUGCGCCGCCUUCCAGCGGAGGUCACCACCAAACUCCUAAACCUUUUCCUGCUUACCCGCAAGCUCCCCCCUUCCCUCCUCCGAGCCAGGACCUCUUUGCUGCCUAAGACAGCCGCCCCAGCAUCCCCCGCUGACUUUCGGCCCAUCACCGUCUGCUCGGUGCUAGCCCGAACCUUCCAUAAGGUUCUGGCGACUCGCCUUAUGCAGAUGUGUGCUGUGGACGAACGUCAGCGGGCUUUCAUCCCAAGGGAUGGGAUGCUGGAGAACACUUUCCUACUCGACCGGAUACUCGUCGGCGCCGUCCGCCGCUGUCGUUCUGUGUUCAUGGCAUCCCUCGAUGUGUCCAAGGCGUUCGAUUCGUUGGACCAUGCGGCUUUGCGUCCUGUGCUUAAAGCCCAUGGUCUGCCGGACGAAUUCAUUGACUACGUCGAGGGCUGCUAUGCGGACAGCACGACGGUAAUUGCGGGGGGUGGCGACGAGUCCCCGGCCGUGCGGCCAGCAAGAGGUGUUCGGCAAGGAGAUCCUCUGUCCCCUCUCCUGUUCAAUUUCGCUGUUGAUUAUGUUCUAGAUCAGCUGCCCUCACACGUAGGUGUCAAGGUGUUGGGCCGCCAGACGAACGCGGCGGCCUUCGCGGAUGACAUCCUGCUCUUCGCCUCCACGAGGGGGGGCCUGCAGUCCCUUAUCAACGCAGCAGUAGCAGCCCUCGACCAGCUGGGGCUGCGUGUUAACCCGCGGAAGUGUCUCACCCUCGCACUCGUGGCGUCCGGCCGCGAGAAGAAAGUGAAAGUGGAUGCGAGCGUCACCUUCACGGCCGGCGAAACCACCAUGCCGGCGUUGGGAGUGGGUGAGACCUUCCGCUACCUGGGACUGCAGUUCUCCUCCUCUGGGCGGUGUCUCUUCCAUCCGAGGCACCACAUCGAGGAGCAGCUGUCGAUCAUCACGCGGGCGCCGCUGAAGCCGCAGCAGCGGCUUUUUGCACUUCGUGAGGUCCUUCUCCCGGGCCUGUAUCAUGGCCUAGCACUGAGUCGCACCCGCAUCGGUGCGCUCAAGGCCAUGGACAACUGUGUUCGAGCCGCCGUGAGGAGAUGGUUCCGCCUCCCAGCCGACACCCCCUUGGGCUACUUUCACGCUCCAAUUGCCCAUGGGGGCCUUGGGAUUCCAUCAGCCCGCUGGAUAGGGCCAACCCUGAGGCGGGGCAGGCUCCUCACCCUGUUGCAGCUCGAGACCACCACCACCGACGCAGACCUGGGGGAGGCACGACACGAAGUGGCGGCGCUUGAACGACACCUCACGUGGGAGGGCCAUCUGCUGCCAACGGCUGCAAAAGUUGGUGAGAUGUGGGCGGCGCGCCUGCAUAUUUCCUUCGACGGGGCAGCUCUCUCGUCGUCAGCCAGGACAUCAGGCCAACAUAGCUGGGUCGAGGACACCAGUCGCUUCCUGUCUGGCCGUGACUACGUCGCGUGCAUCCGCACGCGCAUUAACGCUAUACCAUCCAAGGCGCGCAGGAGUCGCGGCCGAGACAGGGAGAAGAUGUGUCGCGCAAGAUGCAACGCCGUCGAGACCGCGAACCACGUCGUCCAGGGCUGCGGGCUGACCAGCCGAGCCCGGGUCCGACGACACGACGCGGUUGUGAAAUACGUCGCGCGCGGGCUGGCUCAACGAGGGUUCGACGUGUCUGUCGAGCCACACCUUCGAACACCAGAGGGAGUCCGCAAGCCCGACGUUGUGGCGUCUAAGGACGGCGUGGUGCAUGUCAUCGACGCACAAAUCGUCGGCGACCAUCUUGACACCGACUGGUGUCACCGGCAGAAGGCGGCGAAAUACGACGUCCCGUCGGUGCGGCAAGCCGUCGGCGCUCUCCGACCUGCAGCCAGCAGCAUACAGUUUAGAACAGUGACCCUGAACUGGAGGGGGACUUGGGCACCUACAUCAGCCCGCCAGCUCCUACAA